AUUGAACGCUGGCGGCAGGCCUAACACAUGCAAGUCGAGCGAGCGGCGGACGGGUGAGUAAUGUCUGGGAAACUGCCUGCUGGAGGGGGAUAACUACUGGAAACGGUAGCUAAUACCGCAUACCAUCAGAUGUGCCCAGAUGGGAUUAGCUAGUAGGUGGGGUAACGGCUCACCUAGGCGACGAUCCCUAGCUGGUCUGAGAGGAUGACCAGCCAAACUGGAACUGAGAAACGGUCCAGACUCCUACGGGAGGCAGCAGUGGGGAAUAUUGCACAAUGGGCGCAAGCCUGAUGCAGCCAUGCCGCGUGGAUGAAGCAGGCCUUCGGUUUGUAAAGUACUUUCAGCGGGGAGGCGUUACCCGCAGAAGAAGCACCGGCUAACUCCGUGCCAGCAGCCGCGGUAAUAC
rnacentral:rRNA from 1 species